rnacentral:rRNA from 1 species
AUGGAGCCGGGGACCCAUCCUCCCUGCGCGGCCUGCGGGGACGACGCGCACGCCGCCUGCCGCGCCUGCAGCUACGCGCUCUGCAAGGCGUGCCUCGACGAGGACGUCGCCGAGGGCCGCGCCGCCUGCGCGCGCUGCGGCGGGGAGUACGCCGUCUCCGACCCAGCGAAUGGCAAGGGGAGCGCCGCGGAGGAGGAGGAGGCGGCGGUGGAGGACCAGCUCGUCGCCGAGGGCCUGCGUGGGCGGGCCACAAUGGCGAACCAACUCAGCGAUCGCCAGGAUGUAGUAAGUCAUGCCAGGACCCUGAGCAGCAUGUCUGGAGUUGGGAGUGAGUUGAAUGACGAAUCCGGGAAGCCCAUCUGGAAGAACAGGGUUGACAGUUGGAAGGAGAAGAAGAAUGAGAAGAAAGCCUCAGCGAAAAAGGCUGCGGCUAAAGCACAAGUUCCGCCUGUGGAAGAACAGAUCAUGGAAGAAAAGGAUUUGACAGAUGCGUAUGAGCCACUUUCCCGGAUCAUCCCUAUAUCGAAGAACAAGCUCACACCUUACAGGGCAGUCAUCAUUAUGCGGCUAGUUGUUCUCGGGCUCUUCUUCCACUACCGUAUCACCAACCCUGUCGACAGCGCCUUUGGUCUCUGGCUGACUUCAGUCAUAUGUGAGAUCUGGUUCGGUUUCUCCUGGAUCCUGGAUCAAUUUCCCAAGUGGUGUCCUGUCAACCGAGAGACUUACGUUGAUAGGCUGAUUGCACGAUAUGGAGAUGGAGAAGAUUCUGGGUUAGCACCUGUGGAUUUCUUUGUCAGUACAGUGGAUCCAUUGAAAGAGCCUCCGCUAAUCACUGCGAACACUGUGCUGUCCAUUCUUGCGGUGGACUAUCCUGUUGAGAAAAUUUCGUGCUACGUCUCUGACGAUGGAGCUGCCAUGCUCACGUUUGAAUCACUUGCUGAAACUGCGGAAUUUGCAAGGAGAUGGGUUCCAUUUUGCAAGAAGUUCUCCAUUGAGCCACGAACUCCUGAGUUCUACUUCUCACAGAAGAUUGACUACUUGAAGGACAAAAUACACCCGUCUUUCGUCAAGGAGCGUAGGGCUAUGAAGAGAGAUUAUGAAGAGUUCAAGGUGAGGAUAAAUGCUUUGGUUGCCAAGGCUCAGAAGACACCUGAGGAAGGCUGGGUCAUGCAGGAUGGGACACCAUGGCCUGGGAACAACUCUCGUGACCACCCCGGCAUGAUUCAGGUUUUCCUUGGUGAGACCGGUGCUCGCGAUUACGAUGGAAAUGAGCUUCCUCGGCUAGUAUAUGUUUCAAGAGAGAAAAGACCAGGGUACCAACACCACAAGAAGGCAGGGGCUAUGAACGCUCUGGUCCGAGUGUCUGCUGUUCUGACAAAUGCUCCCUACAUUCUUAACCUUGACUGUGAUCACUAUGUUAACAACAGCAAAGCUGUGCGUGAAGCAAUGUGCUUCAUGAUGGACCCUUCCGUUGGUAGAGAUGUCUGCUAUGUCCAGUUCCCACAGAGAUUCGAUGGGAUUGAUCGCAGUGAUCGUUAUGCCAAUAGGAACGUCGUGUUCUUUGAUGUUAACAUGAAAGGGCUUGAUGGCAUCCAAGGGCCGGUUUAUGUGGGAACUGGUUGUUGUUUCUAUAGGCAAGCACUCUACGGUUAUGGGCCACCAUCUCUGCCUGCCCUUCCAAAAUCGUCGGCUUGUUCAUUCUGCUGCUGCUGCUGUCCUAAGAAAAAGGUUGAAAAAACUGAGAAGGAAAUGCACAGAGACUCCAGACGAGAGGACCUUGAAUCUGCCAUUUUCAAUCUACGGGAAAUCGACAACUACGACGAGUAUGAGCGGUCCAUGCUUAUCUCCCAGAUGAGCUUCGAGAAGUCGUUUGGGCAGUCUUCGGUAUUCAUUGAAUCAACUCUUAUGGAGAAUGGGGGUGUUCCUGAGUCUGUAGACCCUUCUACACUGAUUAAAGAAGCCAUUCAUGUCAUUAGCUGUGGAUAUGAAGAGAAAACUGAAUGGGGAAAAGAGCUUGGUUGGAUCUAUGGUUCAGUUACAGAGGAUAUUCUGACUGGGUUUAAGAUGCAUUGCCGUGGGUGGCGAUCAAUCUACUGCAUGCCGAUAAGACCCGCAUUCAAGGGAUCAGCCCCAAUCAACCUUUCCGAUCGUUUGCACCAGGUUCUUCGGUGGGCUCUCGGUUCUGUUGAGAUCUUCUUCAGCCGGCAUUGCCCGCUGUGGUACGGCUACGGUGGUGGCCGUCUGAGGUGGCUCCAGAGGCUGUCCUACAUCAACACCAUCGUCUACCCCUUCACCUCUGUCCCUCUCGUCGCAUACUGCUGCCUGCCUGCCAUUUGCUUGCUCACUGGCAAAUUCAUCAUUCCAAUCCUCUCCAAUGCCGCAACAAUAUGGUUUCUUGGUCUCUUCACCUCCAUCAUCCUGACGAGUGUCCUGGAGCUGCGGUGGAGCGGCAUUGGCAUUGAGGACUGGUGGCGCAACGAGCAGUUCUGGGUCAUCGGUGGCGUGUCUGCUCAUCUCUUUGCCGUGUUCCAGGGUAUCCUCAAGAUGGUGAUCGGGCUGGACACCAACUUCACGGUCACGAGCAAGGCCGCGGAGGACGGCGAUUUCGCUGAGCUGUAUGUGUUCAAGUGGACGACGGUGCUGAUCCCGCCCACGACGAUCCUGGUUCUCAACCUCGUCGGCGUGGUGGCCGGGUUCUCGGACGCGCUCAACAGCGGCUACGAGUCAUGGGGGCCGCUCUUCGGCAAGGUGUUCUUCGCCAUGUGGGUGAUUAUGCACUUGUACCCGUUCCUCAAGGGUCUCAUGGGCCGCCAGAACCGGACUCCCACCAUCGUCAUACUCUGGUCCGUCCUGCUGGCCUCGGUCUUCUCCCUCCUCUGGGUCAAGAUCGAUCCCUUUAUCACCGGUGCCGAGACCGUCGCCACCGGAGCCUGCAGCAGCAUCGACUGCUGA